UCUUGACUAGUAUAUCGGUUUAGUACAGCCGCUUGUCAGUUUGUUCCGUACGCGGCAGAGCUGGGUUCGACUCCCAGGUCGAGAG